AUGGGAGGCGGGGGAACGACGUGCGGCGGCGGCGACCAGCGUGGGGCGCGGGGAGGCGAGGGAACGGCGUGCAGUGGCGGUGGCCAACGCGGGGCGCGGGGAGGCGGGGGAACAGCAUGCGGUGGGGGCGGCCGGUGGGGCGAGUGGGGCAGAACAAUUCGGUCGCUGAUUUGUGGGACCACGGCGGACACCAGACAGACGAGAAGAACGACGCGAGCGUCUGUGUGUCUCUGGAUUGCUUCAUUUGUUUUUUUAGAAACCAGCAGGAGCACUGCCUUUUCUUAUAAAAGAAAAACAGAAGCGCAAUUUACACGGGGCGUAUGUUUUUAG
rnacentral:rRNA from 1 species